rnacentral:rRNA from 1 species
CCUACGGGAUGCACCAGUGGGGAAUAUUGCACAAUGGGCGCAAGCCUGAUGCAGCCAUGCCGCGUGUAUGAAGAAGGCCUUCGGGUUGUAAAGUACUUUCAGCGGGGAGGAAAGCGAUAAGGUUAAUAACCUUGUCGAUUGACGAUACCCGCAGAAGAAGCACCGGCUAACUCCGUGCCAGCAGCCGCGGUAAUACGGAGGGUGCAAGCGUUAAUCGGAAUUACUGGGCGUAAAGCGCACGCAGGCGGUCUGUCAAGUCGGAUGUGAAAUCCCCGGGCUCAACCUGGGAACUGCAUUCGAAACUGGCAGGCUAGAGUCUUGUAGAGGGGGGUAGAAUUCCAGGUGUAGCGGUGAAAUGUGUAGAGAUCUGGAGGAAUACCGGUGGCGAAGGCGGCCCCCUGGACAAAGACUGACGCUCAGGUGCGAAAGCGUGGGGAGCAAACAGGAUUAGAUACCCCGGUAGUC